AGAAUGAACGUUGGCGGCGUGGAUUAGGCAUGCAAGUCGAACGGGCCUGGUUUUCGGAUCAGGUCAGUGGCGCAAGGGUGAGUAAGGCGACGGCAACCAACCCCAUGGUUGGGCAUAGCCGCGGGAAACUGCGGGUAAUUCCCAGCGAUGUUCAUGUCGGGCAUCCGAUGUGAACCAAAGUUCAGGCGCCGUGGGACGGGCCGUCGUGGUAUUAGGUAGUUGGCGGGGUAAUGGCCCACCAAGCCUAUGAUGCCUACCGGGCGUGCGAGCGUGGCCCGGCACACUGGGACUGAGACACUGCCCAGACUCCUACGGGAGGCUGCAGUCGAGAAUCUUCGGCAAUGGGCGCAAGCCUGACCGAGCGACGCCGCGUGGAGGAUGAAGGCCUUCGGGUUGUAAACUCCUGUCGAGGGGGAGGAAGGGGUAACCUUGACCGAUCCCUGGAGGAAGCACGGGCUAAGUUCGUGCCAGCAGCCGCGGUAAGACGAACCGUGCUAACGUUAUUCGGAAUCACUGGGCUUAAAGCGCGUGUAGGCGGAUGGGGACGUCGGUUGUUGAAAGCCCCCGGCUCAACCGGGGAACUGGCGCCGAAACGCCCUGUCUGGAGGGACGUAGGGGGACCUGGAACUUCCGGUGGAGCGGUGAAAUGCGUUGAGAUCGGAAGGAACGCCCGUGGCGAAAGCGAGGUCCUGGACGUUUUCUGACGCUGAGACGCGAAAGCUAGGGGAGCGAACGGGAUUAGAUGCCCCGGUAGUCCUGGCCGUAAACGAUGGGUACUAGGGUCGCGGGUAUCGACCCCCGCUGUCCGAAGCUAACGCAAUAAGUACCCCGCCUGGGGAGUACGUUCGCAAGAAUGAA
rnacentral:rRNA from 1 species